GCCCUCAUCGUCCAGCGGUCUAGGACGCCGGCCUUUCAAGCCGGUAACACGGGUUCGAAUCCCGUUGGGGGCA
rnacentral:tRNA from 1 species